rnacentral:rRNA from 1 species
ACGUACACUCCUGCGGGAGGCAGCAGUGGGGAAUAUUGGACAAUGGGCGCAAGCCUGAUCCAGCCAUGCCGCGUGAGUGAUGAAGGCCCUAGGGUUGUAAAGCUCUUUCACCGGUGAAGAUAAUGACGGUAACCGGAGAAGAAGCCACGGCUAACUUCGUGCCAGCAGCCGCGGUAAUACGAAGGGGGCUAGCGUUGUUCGGAUUUACUGGGCGUAAAGCGCACGUAGGCGGACUAUUAAGUCAGGGGUGAAAUCCCGGGGCUCAACCCCGGAACUGCCUUUGAUACUGGUAGUCUUGAGUUCGAGAGAGGUGAGUGGAAUUCCGAGUGUAGAGGUGAAAUUCGUAGAUAUUCGGAGGAACACCAGUGGCGAAGGCGGCUCACUGGCUCGAUACUGACGCUGAGGUGCGAAAGCGUGGGGAGCAAACAGGAUUAGAAACCCCGGUAGUCCCAUGA